rnacentral:rRNA from 1 species
CAGUAGCCGCGGGAAAACGUAGGGUGCAAGCGUUAAUCGGAAUUACUGGGCGUAAAGCGUGCGCAGGCGGUUAUAUAAGACAGAUGUGAAAUCCCCGGGCUCAACCUGGGAACUGCAUUUGUGACUGUAUAGCUAGAGUACGGCAGAGGGGGAUGGAAUUCCGCGUGUAGCAGUGAAAUGCGUAGAUAUGCGGAGGAACACCGAUGGCGAAGGCAAUCCCCUGGGCCUGUACUGACGCUCAUGCACGAAAGCGUGGGGAGCAAACAGGAUUAGAUACCCCGGUAGUCCCUGUCUCUUAUAC